CCCUACUCCGGUGAAAUUUGGGCAGUCUACUCUGAUUGGUUUCAGUCUAUCCCCCUCCUGGUUCGGUUGAUGAUAUCCCGGGGGUCGCGGUGGAGGAGGUGGUAGAAUUGUCGUCACCAUUGGUACCGCUAUUUGCUCUCGUAUCCCUGCUAUCACCGAGUCUUGCCGUCUCACCAACUCUGUCAUCUGCCGCAAGUGAUCGGACAUAAUUGCCGUCAUCUCCCUCUUCAAUUCAUUCAUGGUCAGUGGUUCUUCCUCCUCUCCUGUCAUGUCAAAAAAAUCACCUGCAACUAAUACAAUUUUCCAGUAAUAUUUAAAUUGCAAUUUCCACAGGAAAAAUAACACCUUUGGAGCUAUGGGUGCCCCUUGUUCUAACAAGAUAAAAUCUUCGUCGGAACAAGUGGACAAUCGCUAAUCCGUUCGGAAGACUUCUUUGUCCAAGAUGUUGCCUUCUAAAUUUGAUCUUGCCAGAGCCAAGCGGACAAUUGCCAAUCCUUUUGGAAGACUUCCUUGUCCAAGAUGUUAAUCGAAAUGAAAGCACCAAAAUGUUACGAGUGCCGUAACAGUAGGGCUGCCGGAGUGAGUUCGCUAGAGAUUCCGACGAGCCAGAAUGGAAGAG
rnacentral:lncRNA from 1 species